GAUGAACGCUAGCGGCAGGCUUAAUACAUGCAAGUCGAGGGGCAGCACGGUUAGCAAUAACUGGUGGCGACCGGCGCACGGGUGCGUAACACGUAUACAAUCUACCUUAAACAGGGGGAUAGCCUUUCGAAAGAGAGAUUAAUACCCCGUAAUAAAUUGAACGGCAUCGUUUGAUUUUGAAAGCUCCGGCGGUUUGAGAUGAGUAUGCGUCUGAUUAGCUAGUUGGUGAGGUAACGGCUCACCAAGGCGACGAUCAGUAGGGGAUCUGAGAGGACUAACCCCCCACACUGGUACUGAGACACGGACCAGACUCCUACGGGAGCAGCAGUAAGG
rnacentral:rRNA from 1 species